rnacentral:rRNA from 1 species
GAUGAACGCUGGCGGCGUGCCUAAUACAUGCAAGUCGAGCGAACGGACGAGAAGCUUGCUUCUCUGAUGUUAGCGGCGGACGGGUGAGUAACACGUGGAUAACCUACCUAUAAGACUGGGAUAACUUCGGGAAACCGUAGCUAAUACCGGAUAAUAUUUUGGACCGCAUGGUUCAAAAGUGAAAGACGGUCUUGCUGUCACUUAUAGAUGGAUCCGCGCUGCAUUAGCUAGUUGGUAAGGUAACGGCUUACCAAGGCAACGAUGCAUAGCCGACCUGAGAGGGUGAUCGGCCACACUGGAACUGAGACACGGUCCAGACUCCUACGGGAGGCAGCAGUAGGGAAUCUUCCGCAAUGGGCGAAAGCCUGACGGAGCAACGCCGCGUGAGUGAUGAGGGUCUUCGGAUCGUAAAACUCUGUUAUUAGGGAAGAACAUAUGUGUAAGUAACUGUGCACAUCUUGACGGUACCUAAUCAGAAAGCCACGGCUAACUACGUG